rnacentral:rRNA from 1 species
GAUGAACGCUGGCGGCGUGCCUAAUACAUGCAAGUCGAGCGAACAGACGAGGAGCUUGCUCCUCUGACGUUAGCGGCGGACGGGUGAGUAACACGUGGAUAACCUACCUAUAAGACUGGGAUAAUUUCGGGAAACCGGAGCUAAUACCGGAUAAUAUAUUGAACCGCAUGGUUCAAUAGUGAAAGACGGUUUUGCUGUCACUAAUAGAUGGAUCCGCGCCGCAUUAGCUAGUUGGUAAGGUAACGGCUUACCAAGGCAACGAUGCGUAGCCGACCUGAGAGGGUGAGCGGCCACACUGGAACUGAGACACGGUCCAGACUCCUACGGGAGGCAGCAGUAGGGAAUCUGACGCAAUGGGCGAAAGCCUGACGGAGCAACGCCGCGUGAGUGAUGAAGGUCUUCGGAUCGUAAAACUCUGUUAUUAGGGAAGAACAAAUGUGUAAGUAACUAUGCACGUCUUGACGGUACCUAAUCAGAAAGCCACGGCUAACUACGUG